AUUUAAAUAGUUUAAUAAAAAAAUAAAGACUUGUGGCGUCUUAGAUGUUAUGUAGCUUUAAAUU
rnacentral:tRNA from 2 species